GAUGAACGCUGGCGGCGUGCCUAAUACAUGCAAGUCGAGCGAACGGACGAGAAGCUUGCUUCUCUGAUGUUAGCGGCGGACGGGCGAGUAACACGUGGAUAACCUACCUAUAAGACUGGGAUAACUUCGGGAAACCGGAGCUAAUACCGGAUAAUAUUUUGAACCGCAUGGUUCAAAAGUGAAAGACGGUCUUGCUGUCACUUAUAGAUGGAUCCGCGCUGCAUUAGCUAGUUGGUAAGGUACGGCUUACCAAGGCAACGAUGCAUAGCCGACCUGAGAGGGUGAUCGGCGACACUGGAACUGAGACACGGUCCAGACUCCUACGGGAGGAAGCAGUAGGGAAUCUUCCGCAAUGGGCGAAAGACUGACGGAGCAACGCCGCGUGAGUGAUGAAGGUCUUCGGAUCGUAAAACUCUGUUAUUAGGGAAGAACAUAUGUGUAAGUAACUGUGCACAUCUUGACGGUACCUAAUCAGAAAGCCACGGCUAACUACGUG
rnacentral:rRNA from 1 species